rnacentral:rRNA from 1 species
UACAGAGGGUGCAAGCGUUGUUCGGAAUCAUUGGGCGUAAAGGGCGUGUAGGCGGUUUGUUAAGUCAUGUGUGAAAUCCCCCGGCUCAACCGAGGAACGACGCAUGAAACUGGCAAGCUAGAGUACCGAAGAGGGGGGUGGAAUUCCUGGUGUAGCGGUGAAAUGCGCAGAUAUCAGGAAGAACACCUAUGGCGAAGGCAGCUCUCUGGGACGGUACUGACGCUGAGACGCGAAAGCGUGGGGAGCGAACAGG